ACGGCUUAUUUUUCCGGCACAGCCCCUGGGCCAGCUGCAGGGAAGCCUCUCCUAGGCCCCACUCUGAGACCAUGGGGCUCCAGGGCCUCCAAGAACUCUCAGGCCCCAGCAGGGGUGGAGAUGCACCAGAUGGUUCUAGACUGGCCCUGGCACCAAGGCCACCAACGAGCUCUGAGCCAGCAACCCACUCGCACAAACCCCAAUGUUAGGUGGGUGUUACCUCCUAGAAACAUAUUCCCCAAGAAGGGUUUUAUAACCCCAUGUGGCAUUUCCAAAGGCAGGUCUGGGGUUCCCUGCUCUCAUUCUAAGAGGGCAUCCCUAAGGAGGUGGCAUCAGAGUGCCAGGGUUCCAAUCCUGGCCAUACCACUGUGCAACCCUGGAUCCUUUAGUCCAGCUCCUGAGGCCUAUUUACCCAUCUGUGAAAUGAAAAUAACAAUAUAUACCUUGUGGAGUUGUUUCCUGCAUAGAGACAUGCUCAGGACCAUACGUGGCACACAUUUAGCCCUCAAUAAACAUUUGCUGCCUUCAUCAUCAUUAUCUUCGCCAUCCCUGGAUCUCCUAUUCUGUGGCUCCUUCACUGAAUCAUAUACUCUCCAGAUCAGCAGAAGCCUCAGGGUUUGUUAAAUCUCACCCUCUUGCCCUCUUGGAAGGUCCUCUCCUAUCUCCCAGCAACAUGGUCCUUCUGGAGCACGGACACCUGUAAGGAUGGGGAGCGUAACACCUGUACUCUACAGGCCAGUUUGCCCGCCAGGGCUGAUGCCUCCUUCCCUGCCCUGACACCCGGGAAACAGCAUUCAUCUAUUCUGUCCUUUGCCCCCCAAAUACAGCGAACCCGCAGUCAGUGCUCAGGAAUUCUUUGGAAGAGCAAGUCUUGUGUGCAGAUACUGGAAAUACAGCAGCACACACAAGCCAACCCAGGCCCUGUACCCGCAGAGCUCCUGGUGUGAUGAAAGGGGGAGACCACCGUCAAUAAUCAUAUCCACAACUGUAAAAUCACUACAAAGACGAGUGCUGCAAAGGAGAGGGACGUGGGGCCAUGAAAAGCUGUAAUGGAGUGUUUGAUCUAAUUAGGGGGGCUUCCUUGAAGAGGUGAUGUGGAAGCUGAAAGAUGAAGGAUGAGGAAGCCGAAGCAGGGGGGAUUGCGGGGCAUGGUCAGGGCCUAGGGGAACAACAUGAGGAAAGCACCAUGUCAGAUGGGACACGGCAAAUGGAAUUAUGCAAAACAGUGUCCCCACGGGGUCUGGAGGGCAGCCCCAGUUUUUCUGUCUUUCUCCUAACAGCAAUGGGAGUCCCCGAAGGUUUUUCAGGCAGGGGUUGAUAGAUUCACAUCUGUUUGUCAAAAGGGUCACCAUGGCUGCUAAGGAUGAGCCUUCCCGAGUCCCUGUGUGUGUACUUGUCUCUGCCCGGAAUGCUCCUCCAGUCCUUGUACCAGUCAGGUGAGGCCAGGCUAUGCUGUGGUAACAAACAACCCCCAAAUCUCAGUGGUUGAAACAGCAAAAGUUGAAAUAUCACUAGAGCUGCACGUCCAUUGUGGGGCACCAGGGGGCUCCAUCCCACGCGGUGACACAGGGACCCAGGCUAGCAAAAACAACCACCAUCCCACUGACCGCUAGUUGCCACACCACAGGAAAAGAACACUCUGGAGGGUCUUGCACCAGCCACUAAGUGCUUUGGCCCAGAGUGAUUUGUGUCCCUGUAGCUCACAACUCACAGGCCCACCACAUGGCCCCACCCAAGUACAAGGGCACCUAGAUCCAAUCCUACCCUGUGCCUGGGUGAGCUGGAAAUGUCUAAGGAUAGGUUAAAGGACCAUCGGACGGACACUCUCCCACUCCGCCUCGCCCUUUGCUAGCCUUAACUCAUUCAUUAGGUGGCGACUGUUUCAGUAUUCCAGAAGGAAGGCCGGUACAGGCAGGAAAGAAUAAGACAGGGAGUACAGCGAGAUCCAGAAGAGGGUACGAGAUGAGGCCAAGGAAGCGGCCGGGGCCAGAUCACUCCAGGGCUUUUAGAUCAGGGUGGCAUUUUGGUUCUUUAUCCCAAAAGCGACUGGGAAGACUUGUUGGUGUUUUAAGUGAGAAAUAUGAGUCCUGAUGUGAUCUCUUUUGGAACAGAUCACUCUGUGAUGUGGAGACUGGCACGGAGGAGAGGCUACAGGUGGACAGUUAGAGGAGACUCUGAAUGUUGUCCUGGAGGAGAGCUAGGAGGCAAGGGACAGCCUUGGAUGCCAUGUAUUGGUCAUGACAACGAUAUAGCCAAGAGGACAGGCCAAGGAGGCAGCUGUAGAAGCACGUAUGACUUGUGACUCCUAGUCCAGUGGUCUUUACUUCCUUCAUACUUGCCAGUGACCUAGAACCAGGGAAACCCUGCUUCCCCAUCCAAGUCCCUGUGAGGAAAGACUCAGAUAAUUGAAGUCAUACUCAACACCAAGAACACAUUUAUGCAACACAGGAAUCCAAGGGGCCUAGAGGACAGAACUCUAACUCAUGCCAACAUGGUAUCUGAGUGAUGGUUGUAGUAGCUGAUCAGGGCUCUUGGGACAAGGGAGGGGAGCCCUCAUGAUGGAGAAUGUCAUUAGGGAAGAGAACUAGCUCCUGCCCCAGCUGCUCCUUGGAGGCCCUGUCAGUUUGGAAUCGGACGGUCCCGGGUGGGGCCCGGCAGGCAAUUCUGAUAUUCCCCGGGGGAUAGCAUGUUCCCAAUAAUCCCAGACAGACAACACUUCUCAAAUCAUGUGUGGAGCAUGCACCAGGCAUUUUCUCUCUAUCGCUUUUAAUCUCACAACUGCCUUGCCAGACAGACUGUGUUGGUCCCAUUUUCGGGAUGGACAAGCAAGGUUCAGAGAGGUCAAAGAUAAUUGUGCCAAACCCAAAGCCAUGCAGGUAUGCAGUAGAGGGGAAAGGACUCCAGUAGAGAAACCCCUCAGUAAACUAAACUGACCAGCUCAGGCUCUUCCCAGCAGGUGUUCAGACCCGUGCCCACACAGCACUCUGCCCACCUCUCAGAGAGCUGGUGGGUGAAGACCAUGCCCCUGCCUCACAGGUAGGGAGACCACAGCCUGUUCCAGACUCCAGCCAGCAGACCUCACACCCCCAACACCUCCCUUCCUCUCAAGGGUCCUAUGGUCAAAGGCAAGCUUGGGUGUCCAAGGCAUCAGGCUCGGUGGAAAAUUCUUUUGCUCCAGCCCAGACCAAAAAACCCCUAAGUUUAUCGGGUUUCCAGGCAUCGAGCGCAAUCUCUCAUUAUUGCCUCCUGUCCCUGAGCACAAAGAACUGGGUGU
rnacentral:lncRNA from 1 species